rnacentral:rRNA from 1 species
UUGAAAGGGAAACGAUUGAAGUCAGUCGUACCAGCGGGAAAUCAACCUUUCGAGUGGGGGUUUUGGAGUUUUGAAGAGUUUCAAAACCUUUGAGAUUUCAAAAAUUUCGCUCUUUUGGUGUACUUUCUCGUGGGUAGGUUAACAUCGAUUUUGAUCAUCAUAAAAAGAUUGGAGGAAUGUAGCUUCGAUCUUGUAUUGAAGUGUUAUAGCCUUUGGUAAAUGUGAUGAUUAGGAUCGAGGAUUGCAACGAAUACCCUUCUGGGCUAUCCGCCUGAUCUCUGAUACGUGGCCUUGGCAUCGAAAGCUUGCUUAUGGUAUCAAGGUAUUACGGUCAAAAGGUUAGAACGGAUUACAUUCGUUAAGGAUGUUGACGUA